GAAGCACCAGCCUGUGCCAGCAAUACAGUUGAUGCGGCGAAGUUUUUUUUUUUUUUUUUUUUUUUUUUUUUUUUUUGGAACAUGAUGCGGCGAAGUUACCAGUUGGAGUUGAUGAAGGAAAUCCUCCCGGCUCUGGAGACAGAAAAUAACCGAAAACGUCCCUGUAAGUGAUCGUUUCAAGUCGAUCAAACCGUCAACCCCAUUUAGCUAUCAUGUCUUUUAAAAUUGCAAUAUUUUGGAUUUUGGUUCUGUCUUCCGUUUUCUGCACACUUCCUCCCCCAGGAGAAAGAGUAACUUUUAAAAAGAAAAUAAUAAAGGCAGCGUUGACG
rnacentral:lncRNA from 1 species